rnacentral:rRNA from 1 species
GGCAGAGGUGCCGAGCGUUAGGCGGAAUCACUGGGCUUAAAGCGCGUGUAGGCGGGUCCGUAAGUGCCUUGUGAAAUCCCACGGCUCAACCGUGGAACUGCUGGGCAUACUGCGGGUCUUGGGCCAUCCAGGGGCGAGCGGAACAAGCGGUGGAGCGGUGAAAUGCGUAGAUAUCGCUUGGAACGCCAAGGGUGAAAACAGCUCGCUGGGGAUGCGCCGACGCUGAGACGCGAAAGCCAGGGGAGCGAACGGG